GUGCUCGCUUUGGCAGCACAUAUAGUAAAACUGGAAUGAUACAGAGAAGAUUACCAUAGCCCCUGUGUAAGGAUCACACACAAAUUCGUGGAGGGUUCUAUAUUCUU